UACAGAGGCCCCAAGCGUUACUGAGAAUCACUGGGUUUAAAGGGUGCGUAGGUGGCGCGUUAAGUCCGUUGUGAAAUCCCUUGGCUCAACCAAGGAAAUGCUUCGGAUACUGGCGUGCUUGAGGCUAGUAGGGGUCACUGGAACUGACGGUGGAGCGGUGAAAUGCGUAGAUAUCGUCAGGAACGCCGAUGGUGAAGACAGGUGACUGGGCUAGUUCUGACACUGAGGCACGAAAGCGUGGGGAGCGAACGGGA
rnacentral:rRNA from 1 species